CAAAGACAUUGACGAGGUUGUUGAUCGACGCGCUACGUGCGAACGGCGUGACAGCACCUUGAACAAAGUAUAGGCAGGAGCCAGCAACCAAGGCAAGUAAGAAUUGCACCCUCGCACGAUAAAGAGCAACCACGCCUCGGCGGGCGGCUGACA
rnacentral:snRNA from 1 species